rnacentral:rRNA from 1 species
AACGCGAAGAACCUUACCUGGUCUUGACAUAUUUAGAACUUUCCAGAGAUGGAUUGGUGCCUUCGGGAACUUACAUACAGGUGCUGCAUGGCUGUCGUCAGCUCGUGUCGUGAGAUGUUGGGUUAAGUCCCGCAACGAGCGCAACCCUUUUCCUUAUUUGCCAGCGGGUUAAGCCGGGAACUUUAAGGAUACUGCCGGUGACAAACUGGAGGAAGGGGGGAGGACGUCAAGUCAUCAUGCCCCUUACGACCAGGGCUACACACGUGCUACAAUGGUCGGUACAAAGGGUUGCUACCUAGCGAUAGGAUGCUAAUCUCAAAAAGCCGAUCCUAGUCCGGAUUGGAGUCUGCAACUCGACUCCAUGAAGUCGGAAUCUCUAGUAAUCGCAUAUCAAAAUGCCGCGGAAAAUACUUUCCCGGGUCUUGUACACACCG